AUGGCCAUGUAUCCAAACUGUGCAAGAGCUGCGUCUACUGCAGAUGCUUCACCCUGUUGCCCAGAGACCGCAUGUUUUUGCUGUGUGUGUGACUGCUUGCUCUGCUUCCACUAUGAAGUCAUACUACAAGGUGCUCUACAUUUCAAGAUGUUAGAACAACCGAUUAAUUUUCUGAGUUGGAACGUAAGGGGUCUGAACUGCCCGGACCGGCGUGCCACGGUCAGCGCCACGAUCGCCUCAUCGUCGUGCCAUGUCAUGUGCCUCCAAGAGACUAAGCUCGAAAAUGUUGAUCAGUUCACAGCAGCCUUCCUGGGGGGUCAUAGGUUGCGUAGCUUCGCGCAAAGGCCUGCAAUUGGCACUAGGGGUGGUAUCUUGAUGCUUUGGGAUGACCUCCUUGUGGAUGUUUCAUGCAUCAACACCACGGCGUUCUGCCUUUCCGCCAUGGUCAGUGUGAGAGGGACCGACAUGCUCUUCAAGAUCACCUCCGUCUACGGUCCCUCGGACUCCUCUUGCAAAGAUGCCUUCUUUUCUAAGCUUCUGGCAGAGAAGCCACCAACCGGGAGAAAUGUCAACCGCGGCAGGAUCAAUCGUUUCAGGGCAACGCUCCACAGUUGUGAGCUCAACGAGGUGGUUCAAAAGGCGUGGAACGAGAGGGUUGACCACACUGAGCCAUACCUCAUUCUUUACCACAAGCUCAAGAAGACGGCUCUCCGCCUCUCUGAAUGGAGUCGAGGUCUUUUCUCAAAGGCUAAAAUUCACCACCAGGGCGCGCUCUUGGUGAUAUUUCGCCUCGACAUCGCCCAAGAGGAUAUGCUCCUCUCCUCUGAGGAAAUUGAGCUCCGGGCCAGGCUCAAGAGAAGGGUCAUCGCCUUGGCGGCGCUCCAUGGGAAGGGGCUUCGGCAGGGAGACCCUAUUUCCCCGCUUCUCUUUGUCAUCGCCAUCGACCCGCUCCAAAAAAUCCUUGAUGUGGCAACAAAGAAGGGGCUCCUCCAUAAAAUCUGGGGAAGGGGGGCCAUGAUGAGGACCUCUCUCUAUGUGGACGACGCGGCCAUCUUCUUGGCACCGAUCAAGCAGGAUGUUGACAACCUUGCUAGCAUUUUGAGGGGAUUUGGGGAUGUCACGGGUCUUUGCACCAAUUUCCAAAAGAGCUCAGUGGUGCCCAUUCGUUGCAACCACCUCGAUUUGGAGUCCCUAACUCAAAGCUUGCCGGCUGCGCGUGCGUCUUUUCCUUUACGAUACUUGGGUCUCCCCCUCUCCGUGUGUAAGCUGAAAUUGGUGGACUUCCAAUUCCUCGUGGACAAAGUGGCAAGCAAGUUGCCAACGUAUGAUGGUCGAAACAUCACCAACAUCGGGCGAACGACCCUCGUCAAGUCCGUGCUCACUUCCCAUGUGGUCUACCCCGGCACCCCAUUGGUCAUACCGCCAACCAUCCUCCACAACGUCAACAAGCUCGAAAGAGCCUUCCUAUGGUCCGGCUCGGAAAAAUAUCGGGGGCCAAAUGCAAGGUGA
rnacentral:rRNA from 1 species